CAAUUUAGGGUUUUAAAACCCUAAUGCUGGCUGAAUGGAAAAAGUUCAGUUUAGGGUUUAAAACCCUAAUGCUGACUAAAGGAAAAUUCAGUUUAGGGUUUAAAACCCUAAUGCUGAUUAAAGGAAAAAUUCAGUUUAGGGUUUAAAACCCUAAUGCUGGCUGAAUGAAAAAAGUUCAGUUUAGGGUUUAAAACCCUAAUGCUGACUAAAAGGAAAAUUCAGUUUAGGGUUUAAAACCCUAAUGCUGAUUGCAUGGAAAAGCUCAGUUUAGGGUUUAAAACCCUAAUGCUGGCUGAAUGAAAAAAAGUUCAGUUUAGGGUUUAAAACCCUAAUGCUGACUAAAAGGAAAAUUCAGUUUAGGGUUUAAAACCCUAAUGCUGAUUGCAUGGAAAAGCUCAGUUUAGGGUUUAAAACCCUAAUGCUGGCUGAAUAGAAAAAGUUCAGUUUAGGGUUUAAAACCCUAAUGCUGACUAAAAGGAAAAUUCAGUUUAGGGUUUAAAACCCUAAUGCUG
rnacentral:lncRNA from 1 species